rnacentral:rRNA from 1 species
CCUACGGGUGGCAGCAGUGGGGAAUAUUGGGCAAUGGGCGCAAGCCUGACCCAGCAACGCCGCGUGAAGGAAGAAGGCUUUCGGGUUGUAAACUUCUUUUAUCAGGGACGAAGCAAGUGACGGUACCUGAUGAAUAAGCCACGGCUAACUACGUGCCAGCAGCCGCGGUAAUACGUAGGGGGCAAGCGUUAUCCGGAUUUACUGGGUGUAAAGGGAGCGUAGACGGGAAGGCAAGUCUGAUGUGAAAGCGCUGGGCUCAACCCGGGGACUGCAUUGGAAACUGACUGACUGGAGUACUGGAGAGGCAGGCGGAAUUCCUAGUGUAGCGGUGAAAUGCGUAGAUAUUAGGAAGAACACCAGUGGCGAAGGCGGCAUGCUGGACAGUAACUGACGUUGAGGCUCGAAAGCGUGGGGAGCAAACAGGAUUAGAUACCCGAGUAGUC